UCCUUAUCCCUUCCUUUUCUUGAGAUAAUCUCCAGACCGUCUCCGUCUCGUUAGUAAGAAAAGUGAUCAUGUUGCUGUUAGUUAUUGUUGCUGUGUUAUUCUCCGGUUGUUUUGCCAACAUCCUUCAACCAUAUAACGAAACCGCCCUUGCCAUGUUCCAUGGUAACGACUUUAAUGGUGAUAAUAAGUUUGAAAGAUCUGAACUCGAUUUUACUUUCUACGUCUAUGACACUGAACCAUUGGAUGGAGUAAUCAGUCGACUAGAAUAUACGUCAUACAUUAACAAAACAACCCCUGAGCUUUAUAGAUUAUCUCAUGAACUCUAUGACAUCUACGAUAUAGAUAACGAUAACAGACUGGAGAAACAUGACUACGAUGCCU